UGUGUCCUUUUACAUUUCGUGCAUGUUCAUGAUCAUCUCUGUAGACCCCACACUCAUCAUUCCCUUCCCAGUGGAAUUUCCUUGUUCCAUCACCGUCGUAGGCUCUUUUUCCGAACUCUGGACGUCGGUCGAUCAAUGUUGGGACUCUGAUGUCGAUCAACAGUUGAGUAUGUUGUCGACACUUUGGCUUGAAACGAUCAUCUAGUCCACCAGUUGGGUCAUAGAACUCGUUUAUAACUCUAUGCUGGUGCUCUAGAGGGUUGUGUCGUUGCAUGAAGAGAUUUUCUGCUCCAUUAGCCAUUAGCCAUCAGAAGGAUAUCUGGAAUGUCCUCUCUGGAUACUUGCAAUCGUGUCCAUUCAUUGCUCUUGCAUAGCCUUCUGGAUCCUUGAAAAUACCAAACUCAUCCAGUGUUAGAUAGUUAUUAUUUUGUUUAGCUUUUGCACUUACAGUUGAUGGUGGUUUUGGACGGUUGUCGAUCAAUGUUGAAGCUUUUUUGUCGAUCGAUGGGCGUUUAGCUCUGGUGAAAGGACGACAGAAACGAGUGCUUCUUCCACAAACUUCUGCAAAGAGUGAAUCUGUAUCUGAGCGUUCCUGGUGGUUGAGCAGUUCCUCGGUAGUGAAACCUUCAUGUUACUCAUCUGCUCCCGGCUCAUGUAUUGCUCUUUCUCUUGCGUAGCUCUCAUGAUAGUGAUCAUAUGCCCAACUGCCAAUUGAAUAGUUUCCUUCUUGUGCACGGUCAACUCCAUUGUUGAUCGAUGUGUAGUAGGCAAUGUCGGUCGAUGCUCGUUUACAAUUUGUCUGGUGAUGAUGAGUGUCGAUCAAUGUUGGGAUGGUUCUGUCGAUCGACUUCGUAUUCCUUAUCCGAUAGGAAUGGUGGAGAAGUCUAUC
rnacentral:lncRNA from 1 species